UGAGCAAAAACAUUAGAUUACUAUUUACUAUUUAUAUAAUUGAGUUCAUUUCAUUGAGCUUGGUGCUAACAUGAUCUUUCCUCUUAUAGAGAUGUUGUCAAGCAGACCAAAUCCCUGAAUGAACUUACAUCGACUGUGAUAGCCCAACACACUCUUGUCCUGAAGGGAAUUCCUGUUUUACAUGGAUCAAGUCCAGCGAAUUCUACAGCACAGCAUUUGACGCUGUGACUGAUGGGACCAUCUCAUGUGUUGAUGUGCUCACUGUUCUUGGGGAGAUUGACGGCUAACAUCAUUUCCAGGGUCCAAGCUGCUGUCAGGUGUUAUGGUGGCACCUUAUUUCUGCUUGAUAUAAUAUA